rnacentral:rRNA from 1 species
UACGGAGGGUGCAGGCGUUAUCCGGAUUCACUGGGUUUAAAGGGUGCGUAGGCGGAUAAGUAAGUCAGUGGUGAAAUCUCCGAGCUUAACUCGGAAACUGCCGUUGAUACUAUUUGUCUUGAAUAUUGUGGAGGUAAGCGGAAUAUGUCAUGUAGCGGUGAAAUGCUUAGAUAUGACAUAGAACACCAAUUGCGAAGGCAGCUUACUACACAAUGAUUGACGCUGAGGCACGAAAGCGUGGGGAUCAAACAGG